AUUGAGGACGUCAUUACAGUCUGGGAGAGGUUGCAGAGAGGGGGUGACGCCGCGAAGACACUGAUGGCGGCUACAUGGUGGAUGAUCUGGCGCGAAAGAAAUAAUGUUAUUUUUAGAAAUCUAUCUAUUGACGCUAUUGCUACUGCCCAACGUAUUGGAAAACUGGCAAUGGAAUGAACUGAGUUCUGUCGAGCUGGGUGAUAUUUCUAUAUUUUGGGUACUUGAUUUGACGCUGCAAUUGUUUUUUAACCUUUUUAUUACUCUCCUCGUACAUUUUUUUUUAGACAUUUUUUUUUUUUUGAUUUUAUCUUCUCUUGGGCCCCUGCUGCCUCAACUCUAUGUAGCUAAAUUUAUUAUCUAAAUGAAUAAAGCAGAUAGCAUGCUGCCUUUUUCUCAAAAAAAAUAAAAAAAUAAAAUUGUAGUGCCACAUCA
rnacentral:lncRNA from 1 species